CCCUUAGAUGUCCUGGGUCGCACGCGUGCUACACUGAUGCAUACAGCGAGUACUCCCAGCUCCGAGAGGCUGCUGGUAAUCAGCAAUAUGCAUCGUGAUGGGGAUAGAUCUUUGGAAUUAUAGAUCUUGAACGAGGAAUUCCUAGUAAUCGCAGGUCAUCACCCUGCGUUGACUAAGUCCCUGCCCUUUGUACACACCGCCCGUCGCUCCUACCGAUUUCGAGUGAUCCGGUGAAUCAUUCGGACCGCGGCCCCUAGGCAUGCGGAAAGUCUAGUAAACCAUAUCACUUAGAGGAAGGAGAAGUCGUAACA
rnacentral:rRNA from 1 species